GCCUCUAGCGGUCAACAGUUGCACUAUAUACACAUUUCUUCUCCGCUGCUCUUGGUGAAACUACACGACAAAAUGGGAAAUGUGCAUUUGUACCGGUGAUUAAUGAAGGAAGCAACAUUCUGAAUACCACAAGCUACUGACAAUAAUGAACAUCAACAGUAGCAGCGAUAUUUUCAGAAAUGAUUGACAAGACAAGACAAUAUAAAAUAACAUCAUUUCUUGUAAAAUAAUUAUAUAAAAUCUAUUUAGAAAGAGUUCCUACAAAUCAGAUUGUAAUUUUGUAAUUUUACAAUAAUUUCAUUCUGUCGUUUGAUCAAUAGAACUAAAAUAACUUUUCCCAUAUUGCAAUUAGAAAUGACGAUCAAAAGUUGUAUUCACGUCAACUUUGUACGGCCCGGCACGAACUCAGAUUUCUCAUCUCGCUGUGUAUACGCAUAUUUCUCCCACCAAACCAAAGCACCGGAGAAGGAAAUGUGCGUAUAGUUCGAUUCUUUGACCGCUAAGGGGCGAUAAUUCGUGGAGCAUAUUUUUGGCUGAGUUUGUAAU